UUGCAAUGCUUACGCGGAUGGAACUUACUUUACCUUUGGCAACAGCUGCGCUGCUUCGAACUACAAUUGCUUGAACGGACUCACCCCUACAUUCCAAUCUUAAGACAAUGUGGAAUGCAACCAAGUGGACUUUGGAUCCUGCGAUCAGUCAGUUUGCUGCUCUUAUGCUGAUGGAUCCGACUCAAAAACUUACAGCAGCGUGAGUGCUGCUGAAAAUGCCCAGAAGUGUCGUGGCGCAAAACGUUGCUACAUUUUGGCCAAGGGUGCGUGCGCCUAAGCAAAAAAAAACAGCACUUCAAGUCUUCAACUGAAUUUUGUCGCUUAUAUGAAAUAAAAGCAAUCAAGAAAAUAAAGUUCGUUCACACUCAGACUGCAGCGUUUGCGUAAACUUUCGUUCUUAUCUUAAAAUCAACAGAAAAGCGAAACUUUUACGUGUUUGGCUUUGUAGACCCAUUAAUUGUUUAUCUUGAGUCCACAGAUUAGUAAGUCAUAUAGACACAAU